rnacentral:rRNA from 1 species
GGAGAUAUAUGGAGCUUGCUUUAUAUAACUUAGCAGCGAACGGGUGUGUAACACGUAGAUAAUCUAUCCUAUACUGGGGGAUAGCCCGAUGAAAGUUGGAUUAAUACCGCAUAUAGCUAUAUAGUUGCAUGAUUAUGUAGUGAAAGAUUUAUUGGUAUAGGAGGAGUCUGCGGCACAUUAGCUAGUAGGUGAGGUAAAGGCUUACCUAGGCGACGAUGUGUAGCCGGUCUGAGAGGAUGAACGGCCUCAAUGGAACUGAGACACGGUCCAUACUCCUACGGGAGGCAGCAGUGGGGAAUAUUGCACAAUGGGGGAAACCCUGAUGCAGCAACGCCGCGUGAGUGAAGAAGGUUUUCGGAUUGUAAAGCUCUGUUAGCAGGGAAGAGGAAGGACGGUACCUGCAGAGGAAGCCACGGCUAACUACGUGCCAGCAGCCGCGGUAAUACGUAGGUGGCAAGCGUUGUUCGGAAUAACUGGGCGUAAAGGAUGCGUAGGCGGUUAAACAAGCUAUAUGUUAAAUAUAUAGGCUUAACCUGUAGAAAGCAUAUAAAACUGAUUAACUAGAGUGCAGGAGAGGUAAGUGGAAUUCCUAGUGUAGCGGUGAAAUGCGUAGAGAUUAGGAAGAACACCAGUGGCGAAGGCGACUUACUGGACUGUAACUGACGCUGAGGCAUGAGAGCAUGGGGAGCAAACAGGAUUAGAUACCCUGGUAGUCCAUGCUGUAAACGAUGGGUACUAGGUGUGGGUUGUGAAUAACAAUUCGUGCCGUCGCAAACGCAAUAAGUACCCCGCCUGAGGAGUACGAUCG